rnacentral:rRNA from 1 species
CACGUAGGGGGCGAGCGUUGUCCGGAUUUAUUGGGCGUAAAGAGCUCGUAGGCGGUUUCGUUAGUCGGGUGUGAAAACUCCAGGCUCAACCUGGAGACGCCACCCGAUACUGCGAUGACUAGAGUCCGGUAGGGGAGUGUGGAAUUCCUGGUGUAGCGGUGAAAUGCGCAGAUAUCGGGAGGAACACCUAUGGCGAAGGCAGCUCGCUGGAACGGUACUGACGCUGAGGCGCGAAAGCGUGGGGAGCGAACAGG